GAUUCUUACUUGUAAUAUAUUU
rnacentral:snRNA from 1 species